CUGGUUGAUCCUGCCAGUGGUCAUAUGCUUGUCUCAAAGAUUAAGCCAUGCACGUGCAAGUUCAACUGUCCCAGUGAAACUGCGAAUGGCUCAGUAAAUCAGUUAUGGUUCCUUUGAUCGUCACAUCCUACAUGGAUAACUGUGGUAAUUCUAGAGCUAAUACAUGCGGAAGAAGCGCCGACCUCACGGUUUGGCGUGCAUUUAUUUAGACCAAGAUCCAACCAGGGGUUCGCCCUGGUCCUUUGGUGACUCUGGAUAACCCAGCCGAUCGCACGGUCUUCGGACCGGCGACAGAUCAUUCGAAUGUCUGCCCUAUCAACUAUCGAUGGUAGGUUCUGUGCCUACCAUGGUGGCAACGGGUGACGGGGAAUCAGGGUUCGGUUCCGGAGAGUUAGCCUGAGAAACGGCUAACACAUCCAAGGAAGGCAGCAGGCGCGCAAAUUACCCACUCCCGACUCGGGGAGGUAGUGACGAAAAAUAACAAUACGGGACUCUUUCGAGGCCCCGUAAUUGGAAUGGGUACGCUUUAAAUCCUUUAACGAGGAUCUAUUGGAGGGCAAGUCUGGUGCCAGCAGCCGCGGUAAUUCCAGCUCCAAUAGCGUAUAUCAAAGUUGUUGCGGUUAAAAAGCUCGUAGUUGGAUCUUGGGACCGGGCUUGCGGUCCGCCGCGAGGCGUGUCACUGCUCGUCCCCGGCCUUUCCUGCCGGAUUCUCCCCGGUGCUCUUCACUGAGUGCCUCGAGGUACCGGAGCGUUUACUUUGAAAAAAUUAGAGUGUUCAAAGCAGGCCUGGCGCCUGAAUUGUGGUGCAUGGAAUAAUGGAAUAGGGCCUCGGUUCCUAUUUCGUUGGGUUUCGGAACGUGAGGUAAUGAUCAAGAGGGACGGACGGGGGCAUUCGUAUUGCGGCGGGAGAGGUGAAAUUCUUGGAUCGCCGCAAGACGAACCACUGCGAAAGCAUUUGCCAAGAAUGUUUUCAUUGAUCAAGAACGAAAGUUGUGGGCGCGAAGGCGAUAAGACACCGCCCUAGUCACAACCAUAAACGAUGCCAACCAGCGAUCCGCCGGCGUUGCUUCGGUGACCCGACGGGUUGCUCCCGGGAAACCUGAGUUUUCGGGCUCCG
rfam:Branchiostoma floridae genomic scaffold BRAFLscaffold_266, whole genome shotgun sequence.